GGGUCAGUAGGUUGGUCGUGCCACCGGUACGUACUGGUCUCACCGAUACCUCCUUCCUGAAGAACCGUAAUGCCAUUAAUUUGGUGUUGCGGGGAAACAGGACUGUUACUUUGAAAAAAUUAGAGUGUUUAAAGCAAGCUAACGCUUGAAUACAUUAGCAUGGAAUAAUGAAAUAGGACGAUCGAUCCUAUUUUGUUGGUUUCUAGGAUUGACGUA
rnacentral:rRNA from 1 species